GGGGCGGUAGUAUAGCUUGGUCUAGUAUUCGGCGUUCGGGGCGCUGUGACGGGGGUUCAAAUCCUCCCCGUCCCA
rnacentral:tRNA from 1 species